ensembl:lncRNA
GUAUGUAGCUAAAGGUCCCAUCUUCCUUGAAGGCUUGGAAGACAUUAUUUAAGAAAGAAGGGGAGGGAAGGCAGGAAACCGAAUGGGAGAGGCAGCAGCAACAGAGCAGCUGGCAAAGGCUUCCUCAUGCAAUUGAAAGACAGGUUUUUUUUUUUUUUUUUGGUUUUUUGAGACAGGGUUUCUCUGUGUAGCUUUGGAGCCUAUCCUGGCACUCGCUCUGGAGACCAGGCUGGCCUUGAACUCACAGAGAUCUGCCUGCCUCUGCCUCCUGAGUGCUGAGAUUAAAGGCGUGCGCCACCACCGCCCUGCUGAAAGAGUUUCUGGGAGAGCUGUGGGUCCCCAGAGUACGUUUUGCCUGCAUGUAUGUCUGCGUGAGGGUGUCAGAUCUCCUGGAACUGGAGUUACAGACAGUUGUGAGCCGCCAUGUGGGUGCUGGGAAUUGAGUCUAGGUCCUCUGCAAGAGCAGCCAGUGCUCUUAACCAUUGAGCUACCUCUCCAGCCCCUGUUAGCUUGUUUUUUAAACCAGUGGAAGACUAUGCUGGGGAUACCUGGCCUCCACUUGUGGGUGCCAGAUGGAAGCUAAUACAGUCUCCCUGUGUCCUCGGACACAGGUCUCCCUUAGCAGGAUAGGUGGUAGCUCCAGGACCACAGUCACCUAGGCAGGGCAGGUGCCCAAUUCUCCUCCCCCACACUAUUCUCGCUUGAAGCUCAGAGGAGCCUUCAGCUUCCUCAGUAAUGGGUGGACCAGGGCAGGGUAAAAAUUGGUGGUGACUGAUUUAUGUGCUCAUUGUAUGCAGAUGAUCUGGCAAGAGCCUUGACCCUGAGCCCUGAUUCUGAACUCGGUGGGAAAGGGCCACAAAUGUCUGUACCCUUCACCCAUCUCUGUCUGUGACUGCCUUUGUUUCAGGCCCAGCCAUCAGAAGGAAGGAGUGGGAGGUUAUGGGUGAAGCAACGUGAAAUACAAUCAUGUCUUCCAGUCUAGUACUGGUAUGAUUUUGUUAAGCAGUCUAUGUAUGCCCCAGCUUUUUUGUUGAAGCUAAGUGGUAAGGGCAGCACAUGGGAUUACCAAAUGCAUGGCCUGUUUCAGUUUUUCCAUGACAGUUACCUUGCCACCUGGGGAUUUGCAUUUUUAGCAAACACUUUGGGCACUCCCGAGCCAAGGGUUGUUCUGGCAGGUUGAGGAUUCUAGGCCAUUUCCACCUUCCUGCCCUCCCUCUUCUCUUGGAGCUUUUUCUUCAGAGACUCCUCUUUCCACCCUUCAUGGCUACCAGAGGGUCUGAUGCCUGCAGCCUGGCCAGAACUCGGAGGGAAGAGUCAUGUAGGCAGGACUGCCAGGGCAGGACAGUGUUGGACACAGGGGAGCUGUGCCUAUUUUUGCCACCACUAGCUGGAUCUGUGCCCUCUCAGCCACCUGGGUCACCACUCUCUCCUCCUGGGGACAAGACAACACGGCUCAACACAGCAGAGGUUGGUAAGCUGAGGUGUAGUCAGGCGCUCAAGGACAUGUUGACAGGUAACAGUGGAGACUGGCUUGGAACUCUGCCUGGUUCAUGUGCAUGCAUUGAUCUCUGCCGUCAGCUCUCUCUGCCCACUGCUACUAAAGUAUAGAUCCAAUGAACAGAAAGGCUCUUCUUCAACCUGGGACAGUUGUAGCUACACGGGAAGACCCUGGGAGGUACCUGGCUCCCAGUGCAUUGCAGGCAGGGUUGCUUGGCUGUUGGGAAGAAUGGGACCCGGGGCUUUUGCCCUGCUGAGGAAG